rnacentral:misc_RNA from 1 species
CAUGAUUUACUUUUCUAAACAAACCGUGAACUUUAUAUAUACCAUUCGUGUUUUGUUUGUUUGACUUCGGUCAACUCACAUACACUGUCAUUCGUUGAACAUUAGAUAGCUGGCUCGUACUUAAUCAUACUUUCUCAGCUGAUUUGUUGUACUAAACAUACUUCCAAUCACCAAAAUAUAGAAA